AUUGAACGCUGGCGGCAUGCCUUACACAUGCAAGUCGAACGGCAGCACGGGAGCAAUCCUGGUGGCGAGUGGCGAACGGUGAGUAAAGUAUCGGAACGUGCCCAGUCGUGGGGGAUAACGUAGCGAAAGUUACGCUAAUACCGCAUACGAUCUAUGGAUGAAAGCGGGGGAUCGCAAGACCUCGCGCGAUUGGAGCGGCCGAUAUCAGAUUAGGUAGUUGGUGGGGUAAAGGCUCACCAAGCCGACGAUCUGUAGCUGGUCAGAGAGGACGACCAGCCACACUGGGACUGAGACACGGCCCAGACUCCUACGGGAGGCAGCGGUGGGGAAUUUUGGACAAUGGGCGAAAGCCUGAUCCAGCCAUGCCGCGUGCAGGAUGAAGGCCUUCGGGUUGUAAACUGCUUUUGUACGGAACGAAAAGGUUUGGGCUAAUAAGCUGAGCUCAUGACGGUACCGUAAGAAUAAGCACCGGCUAACUACGUGCCAGCCGCCGCCGUAA
rnacentral:rRNA from 1 species